rfam:Ovis aries breed Texel chromosome 1, whole genome shotgun sequence.
CUAAAGGUCUUUCUCAAGACCACACAGCCAGUAACAGCAAAGCUA